AUACGAAGGGGGCUAGCGUUGUUCGGAUUUACUAGGCGUAAAGCGCACGUAGGCGGAUUGAUUAGUUAGGGGUGAAAUCCCGAGGCUCAACCUCGGAACUGCCUCUAAAACUGUCAAUCUCGAGACCGGAAGAGGUGAGUGGAACUCCUAGUGUAGAGGUGGAAUUCGUAGAUAUUAGGAAGAACACCAGUGGCGAAGGCGGCUCACUGGUCCGGUACUGACGCUGAGGUGCGAAAGCGUGGGGAGCGAACAGGAUUAGAUACCCUUGUAGUCC
rnacentral:rRNA from 1 species